UAUGUGAUCGUCUCUCGCAUUCAAUAAGCGGAGGAAAAGAAACUAACAAGGAUUCCCUUAGUAACGGCGAGUGAAGCGGGAAGAGCUCAAAUUUGAAAUCUUAAAGGGUUUCCCUUUACGAAUUGUAGUUUAAAGAAGUGUUUUCUGUUGAGGUUUUGGUAAAAGUUCUUUGGAAUAGGACAUCAUAGAGGGUGAGAAUCCCGUAUUCGACCUUUACUUUCAACUUUGUGAUACACUUUCAAAGAGUCGGAUUGUUUGGGAAUGCAGUCCAAAAUGGGUGGUAAACUUCAUCUAAAGCUAAAUAUUGGCGAGAGACCGAUAGCGAACAAGUACCGUGAGGGAAAGAUGAAAAGAACUUUGAAAAGAGAGUUAAACAGUACGUGAAAUUGUCAAAAGGGAAGCGUUUGACACCAGUGUUGUUUUUCUGAAAAUCAAUUAAAGAACUGUUUAUGCUAAGCUGUUUAGACUUUAUCAGCUAUCUGUUUAGUUUUGAGCUUUUCUUUAAUGCACUUUUCAGUUAACAAGUCAACAUCCAAUUUCUUUUGCUGUAAAAAAGCUUGAGGAAGGUGGCUUGAGAUUCGUCUUAAGUGUUUAUAGCCUCUUGCCUAUGCAGUCGGAGAGAUUGAGGUCUGCAGCGUAGAUCCUUCGGGGCUAAAUGCAUUUGUGCUAAGUUAUAGCAUUUUAUAGACAACUUGUUGACUAUGAUUUGUCUUGUAGCUUACUCGCUUAUGUUAUUUUACCUACGCUUAGGAUGUUGAGCGCAUGUCUCUCUCU
rnacentral:rRNA from 1 species